rnacentral:tRNA from 1 species
ACUUAAAUAGCUUAUAGUAAGAGUGUAAUAUUGAAGAUAUUAAGGUGAUAAUUUAUCUUUAAGUG